CUAAGUUAGCAUGUGAGGUAGGGAGCAUAAGAGAGGAAAGGAAUCAGUUAUAGAAAUGGAGAAAGAGGACUUGUGGGAAACAAGAAGAGGACAGUGUUUGAGAAAAGAGGAAAACAGCCCAGGUGAGAAGAAAACAAUAAUAUGCUCUACCAACACACAGGUUAGAUCCUUAAGGAUUACGCAGGAAGAGGGGAACGAAUGCAUCCCUGAGACAAAACUUCAAAUGUGGAGAUGCAAGCUCUAGGUGACAUCAAAGAGAUUCUUUGCUUCAAAUCGCUGAUUAAGGUGAACCUUGCAUUUUCUUCCUUGUAUGGAUGGAUGACACUUGACAGCAGUCUCACCAUAUUAUCCUCUUAAAGUGACUGUUCCACCUCUCCGGAGAUGUAAGUUUAGCUAAUGCAUCACCUACCUGCAGGCUGGUCCAUCCCAAGUGAAACUCACACUGCUGCAGUGUGCCAAAUACA